rnacentral:misc_RNA from 1 species
GAUGAAGAACGCAGCGAAAUGCGAUAAGUAAUGUGAAUUGCAGAUUUUCAGUGAAUCAUCGAAUCUUUGAACGCACCUUGCGCUCUCUGGUAUUCCGGGGAGCAUGCCUGUUUGAGUGUCAUUAAAUUCUCAACCCCGAUCGGAUUUGUUUUCGCAUUCGGAGGCUUGGAUAGUGGAGCGUGCUGGCCCCCUCUCAUGGGUCGGCUCCUCUCAAAUGCAUUCGCGGAAUCGACUUUGGUCCAUUUCGGUCAUCAGUGUGAUAAACGUUGCGCUGUUGGCUAGGAUCGAGGUGCCGCAUACAAUGGUCUUCGGACAAUUUUAAUAAACCAUUUGACCUCAAAUCAGGUAGGACUACCCGCUGAACUUAAGCAUAUCAAUAAGCGGAGGA